GUGCUUGCUUUGCAGUAUACAUACUAAAAUUGGAAUGAUGCAGAGAAGAUUAGCAUGGCCCCUGUGCAAGUAUGACAUGCAUGAAGCAUUUCAUAUUUUU
ensembl:snRNA U6 U6 spliceosomal RNA